UGCAGUCGAGCGAUGAAGUUUUGUUAGCAAUAACGAAAUGAAUUAGCGGCSAMCGGKUGAGGAACACGUGAGGAAUCUGCCUUCUACUCUGGGAUAACUCCGGGAAACCGGGGCUAAUACCGGAUAUGAAACUUGGUGGCAUCACCGAGUUUGGAAAGUUUUUCGGUARAARAWGAMCYCSCGGSCYAUYMRCUUGKUKGUGAGAKGUARUGKCUCACCAAGGCSAMSRSGWGKASCSSGCSWGAGRGGGCGACCGGCCACRSKGGGACUGAGACACGGCCCAGACUCCUACGGGAGGCAGCAGUGGGGAAUAUUGGGCAAUGGAGGGAACUCUGACCCAGCGACGCCGCGUGCGGGAUGAAGGCCUUCGGGUUGUAAACCUCUUUCAGUAGGGAAGAAGCGAAAGUGACGGUACCUGCAGAAGAAGCACCGGCUAACUAUGUGCCAGCAGCCGCGGUAAUACAUAGGGUGCAAGCGUUGUCCGGAAUUAUUGGGCGUAAAGAGCUCGUAGGUGGUUCGUUACGUCGGAUGUGAAACUCUGGGGCUCAACCCCAGACCUGCAUUCGAUACGGGCGAACUAGAGUGUGGUAUGGGAGACUGGAAUUCCUGGUGUAGCGGUGGAAUGCGCAGAUAUCAGAGACACCGAUGGCGAAGCAGGUCUCUGGGCCAUUACUGACACUGAGGAGCGAAAGCGUGGGGAGGCGAACAGGAUUAGAUACCCUGGUAGUCCA
rnacentral:rRNA from 1 species